AGGUUAGCUCAAUUACAUAAAAGUAAAGUAAACACAUAAGAAACUAGGCACUUUGUUCUCAAAACUUAACUAAAAUAUGGGUAAGUUAUGGUGCUUAGGCCUAUAAAUACACCCAAUAUCAAUAAUAUGUCUGAAACAUUGAUUCCUUAGCAGUUUCUUCAAUUGCUCCUAUCAAGAUCUUUCAGAAGCUAUUGCCGAACUGGACACUUUGGGUGAGGAAUUCUACAAGGAUAACACCCUUAUCAUACAAUUGUUAAGGGACAAUCUCACUCUCUGGACUUCUGAUAUGCAGGUGUAAGCGCUAUAAUACAGUGUUGAUAUCAGUCUAUUAAAAAAAAUACAACAAAAUGUCUUCUGGAUAUUUACAUUUUCUCAGUUUAAAUAGUGAAUUUGAAGACACUCACAUGGUAUACAAGACCGCCAAAGAGUUCCUGACAGCUUUUCUUUGCAAGGGUAUAGACGCACUGACUAUAGUUCAUCGCCACCUACUUGUGGAGAUUUCAGUAGUUAUUCGCGUGGCGAUUAUGGAAGAUGGGAAAGUCGUUCGUCUGGAUGGAGUGAUCGAGAUAAUGAUGCACAAUCUGAUCGGCAUUCAGAAUAAAGGGACAUGAGCUGGAGAAGCAAGUCGAAGACGAAUCUGUAGGUUAGUUGAAGGAUCUGAAGGCAGAGUUUGUGAUAAAACUAAAGUGGUUUCAAGUGCUUAAAUAAAGCCCUUUACAUAUAUAAAUUUUGUGUAUUAAAUGAUGUGGCUUCGUCAUUUGUUUCUUCAUUGGCAGCUACUACAUAAUUUUACUAAUGCUAAUGGACUCUAUGUAAUUUAAGUUAUGCAAUUUCUUAAACUGAGCUAAAACAACAGUUUAGAGAAUGGAA